AUUGAGAUCAGUUUUGGAAAAUGGGAAAGGGGGAUGUGAAAAAAAAGGGGGGGUAAAUUUUUCUCAUUUCAGAUUUCAUAAAUAAAAAGAAAAUUUCUUCAAACAUUUUUUUGAGAGGAUUAAUAUUCAACAGCAUAGUGAAUUCCUCAAAGGCAAAAAAAAUGUUUUAAGUUCAUUUGACCACAGUCAUUCUGUGUCCGAAACCUAUGCUGUGUCAACUAUUUAAUCACAAUCCAAAUUUAGAGCUGAAUCCAGCUUGAAUGUUGUGUCCAUACUUGCCCCA
rnacentral:lncRNA from 1 species